GCCUCUUGUUCAAAUAUAAGAGGUCCAGCCUGCCCAGUGAUAUAAUUCAACGGCCGCGGUACCCUAACCGUGCGAAGGUAGCAUAAUCACUUGUUCUUUAAAUAAGGACUUGUAUCAACGGCAUCACGAGGACUGUACUGUCUCCUUUCUCCAAUCAGUGAAACUGAUCUCCCCGUGAAGAAGCGGGGAUUAACCUAUAAGACGAGAAGACCCCAUGGAGCUUAAAGCCCACACAACUCUAUGCAUUUAAAUCAAUAUAGCCCAAGAAACCUGCAAACGGCUUUAGGUUGGGGGGACCGCGGAGUAAAACCUAACCUCCACGACAAACGGGCAUACGCCCUUAUCCAAGAAUGACAAUUCUAAGAAUCAAUAAACUGAUGUUUAAUGACCCGAUUAUUCGAUCAACGAACCAAGUUACCCUGGGGAUAACAGCGCAAUCUACUUCAAGAGCCCCUAUCAACAAGUAGGUUUACGACCUCGAUGUUGGAUCAGGGUAUCCUAGUGGUGCAGCCGCUACUAAAGGUUCGUUUGUUCAACGAUUAAAACCCUACGUGAUCUGAGUUCAGACCGGA
rnacentral:rRNA from 1 species